rnacentral:tRNA from 2 species
GAGGGUGUAGCUCAGCUGGUUAGAGCGGCGGACUGUGGCUCCGCAGGUCGCGGGUUCAAAUCCCGUCGCCCUCC